GAAAAUGAGGAAGAAAUCAAAUGUGAAUCAAGACUUUAAUGUUUUUGAGACCAUGUACCUUAUUUGCUUAUUGAUAUUCUGAUUCCA
rfam:Brassica rapa chromosome A3, whole genome shotgun sequence.